UACGAGGGGGGCGAGCGUUGUUCGGAAUUAUUGGGCGUAAAGGGCUCGUAGGCGGUCUGUCGCGUCGAAAGUGAAAACCCAGGGCUUAACCCUGGGCCUGCUUCCGAUACGGGCAGACUAGAGGUAUGCAGGGGAGAACGGAAUUCCUGGUGUAGCGGUGAAAUGCGCAGAUAUCAGGAGGAACACCGGUGGCGAAGGCGGUUCUCUGGGCAUUACCUGACGCUGAGGAGCGAAAGUGUGGGGAGCGAACAGG
rnacentral:rRNA from 1 species